AUUGAACGCUGGCGGCAUGCCUUACACAUGCAAGUCGAACGGUAACGGGCCUUCGGGUGCCGACGAGUGGCGAACGGGUGAGUAAUACAUCGGGACGUGCCCGAUCGUGGGGGAUAACGAGGCGAAAGCUUUGCUAAUACCGCAUACGAUCUGCGGAUGAAAGCAGGGGACCGCAAGGCCUUGCGCGGACGGAGCGGCCGAUGGCAGAUUAGGUAGUUGGUGGGAUAAAAGCUUACCAAGCCGACGAUCUGUAGCUGGUCUGAGAGGAUGAUCAGCCACACUGGGACUGAGACACGGCCCAGACUCCUACGGGAGGCAGCAGUGGGGAAUUUUGGACAAUGGGCGCAAGCCUGAUCCAGCCAUGCCGCGUGCAGGAUGAAGGCCUUCGGGUUGUAAACUGCUUUUGUACGGAACGAAAAGCCUUCUUUUAAUACAGGAGGGUCAUGACGGUACCGUAAGAAUAAGCACCGGCUAACUACGUG
rnacentral:rRNA from 1 species